GGUGGUAUAGGUCAACUGGUAGAGUAUUUGUCUAGCAAGCUGGAAGUCCUGAGUUAAUCCCCAGUACCACCA
rnacentral:tRNA from 1 species